GUUGAAAUUCAACAAAAAAAUGACUGAAAAAACAGUCGCCAUGUUUGCAAUCGUUGAAGUGAUUGUUUUGUUUUUAGUUCCGCGUUGGACUCGCUAGUAAGUUAAAUAAAACUGCCCUGGAUUACUUGAAAAUACAAAUUAAAAGAGUGGUUGAAGAGCAACUUUAUGUUAUUUGAGAUCAAGAGCAGCAGCAGUUCCGCUGCAGACAGAAAUUCAUCGGCUGACUCAACGGAAUCCUAAAUUUAUUUGUCUCCAGAUGCCGUCACGUCUUUGGGAUGAUCCGGAACUUCCUACAUUUGUUGCAUCAAGAGGUUUGUGUCAGUUCCGAAAUGUCCGAGGAAAAAAUACAAGCACUAAAAUAACAGCAGAUAGGAAAGCGUGCUGUAGAAUCAUUAUGGGAAAAGCAGCAGCGUACCAUCCGCAACUGUGGUAUCAGAGGCCGACAUGAGGAUAAUCGACGCAGUCAUUUCCUCGACCGGCUAGACUAUCUUCCACCAGCUCUUUCACUAACAUCAACAGUGCAGAUACCGGGGAAAGCAACUUAAUACAUGAAUGUUUUAAAAUAAAAAAUCUGUGCAUUGUAUCAUA